GCACAGAGCAAGCCGUGUUUGUUUGCGUGUUCCUCGCAUGUCAGACUUCAGCUCGCCUGAACACCGUCGCUUUCUCCACUGAGCCUGAUGACAUCAGCUGGUAAAUAUGCACCCUGGGAAAAUUAAAAAUAAAGGAGGGGGCGGAUGUAGAGAGAUGGGUAUAGAAAGAGAGAGACGGGGAGAGAGAUAAAGAGCGCGAAAGAGGGAGUGAGCGAGAGAGAGAGAGCGAGAGAGAGAGGAAAAAAGAGGGAGAGAGCUACAGAAAACCCUACAAUGCCAAGAGCCGAACCGACAGAAGAUUCUCCUCACCCGGCCUGGUCCUGAACCUCAGUUCACCAACAACACCCCCCCCCCCCCCCCCCCCGGGUCCCCGCCCCCGGGUCCCCGCCCCCAACACACACACUCCCCCAGCACACACUUCUACAUCACACACUUCUACAUCUGAAACAGCCGGACACAAGAAUAAUCAGACCAAUCAGACCUCACCAAAUUCUAACACUACAGAAACAAAACUACAUCACGUACUGGAAAACACACACACACACACACACACACACACACACACACACAUAGACACACACACACACACACAUAGACACACACACACACACACACACACACACACAUAGACACACACACACACACACACAUAGACACACACACACACAUACACAUAGACACACACACACACAUAGACACACACACACACACACACAAAGUGAAAUGCAUAAUAACAGUUCUACAUUCCUGUAAUGCUUUGGUAAUACUGUCCAUGUAUACAGUCAUGCUGCUAAAGCUUGUUAAAUGAAUUGAAUUAAAGAGAGAGAGAGAGGGAUAGAGAGAGGGAUAGAGAGAGGGAUAGAGAGAGAUAAAGAUAGGGAUAGAGAGAGAGAUAAAGAGAGAGAGAUAAAGAGAGGGAGAGAGAGAGAUAAAUAGAGAGGGAUAGAGAGAGAGAUAAAGAGAGGGAUAGAGAGAGAGGGAUAGAGAGAUAAAGAGAGGGAUAGAGAGAGAUAAAGAGAGGGAUAGAGAGAGAGAUAGAGAGAGAGAGGGAUAGAGAGAGAGAUAAAUAGAGAGGGAAAGAGAGGGAGAGAGAGAUAGAGAGAUAGAGAGAGAGAGAAAUUAAGAGAGGGAUGGAGAGAGAUAGAGAGGGAUAGAGAGAGAUAAAUAGAGAGGGAGAGAGAUAAAGAGAGUGAUAGAGAGAGAGAUAAAGAAAGGGAUAGAGAGAGAUAAAGAGAGGGAUAGAGAGAGAGGGAUAGAGAGAGAGGGAUAGAGAGAGAGAGAGGGAUGGAGAGAGAGAUAAAGAGAGGGAUAGAGAGGGAUGGAGAGAGAGAUAAAGAGAGGGAUAGAGAGAGAGGGAUAGAGAGAGAGAUUAAGAGAGGGAUGGAGAGAGAGAUAGAGAGAGAGGGAUAGAGAGAGAUAAAUAGAGAGGGAUAGAGAGAGAGAUAAAGAGAGGGAUAGAGAGAGAGAGGGAUAGAGAGAGAGAUAAAGAGAGGGAUAGAGAGAGAGAGAUAAAGAGAGGGAUAGAGAGAGAUAUAGAGAGAGAUAAAGAGAGGGAUAGAGAGGAUAUAGAGAGAGAUAAAGAGAGAGAUAGAGAGAGAGAGAGAUUAAGAGAGGGAUGGAGAGAGAGAUAGAGAGGGAUAGAGAGAGAGAUAAAGAGAGGGAUAGAGAGAGAGAGAUAAAGAGAGGGAUAGAGAGAGAUAUAGAGAGAGAUAAAGAGAGGGAUAGAGAGAGAUAGAGAGAGAGAGAGAUUAAGAGAGGGAUGGAGAGAGAGAUAGAGAGGGAUAGAGAGAGAGAUAAAGAGAGGGAUAGAGAGAGAGAGAUAAAGAGAGGGAUAGAGAGAGAGAGAGAGAGAGACGGAUAGAGAGAGAGAUAAAGAGGGAUAGAGAGGGAGAGGGAGAGGGAUGAGUAAUGAUUAUCAGCAAAUUGAUGAAUCAGUGUGAAUCUUUUCUGAUGUAUGAGAGGCGAGGAGGGUUCUGUAUGGGCGAUGAGGGUUCUGUAUGAGAGGCGAGGGUUCUGUAAGAGAGGUGAGGGUUCUGUAUGGGCGAUGAGGGUUCUGUAUGGGCGAUGAGGGUUCUGUAUGAGAGGCGAGGGUUCUGUAUGCGUGAUGAGGGUUCUGUAUGAGAGGCGAGGGUUCUGUAUGGGCGAUGAGGGUUCUGUAUGAGAGGCGAGGGUUCUGUAAGAGAGGUGAGGGUUCUGUAUGGGCGAUGAGGGUUCUGUAUGGGCGAUGAGGGUUCUGUAUGAGAGGCGAGGGUUCUGUAUGAGAGGCGAGGGUUCUGUAUGAGAGGCGAGGGUUCUGUAUGAGAGGCGAGGGUUCUGUAUGGGCGAUGAGGGUUCUGUAUGAGAGGCGAGG
ensembl:lncRNA